rnacentral:rRNA from 1 species
CCUUUAUUAAUGAAUGAGGCAAGUCUUUUGCCCCUGUUUCAAAAAAAAACACUUCUACAUCUACACUACUAUUAAAAGAGCAAACAUGAAUUCCCCUACAACCACAUCAUAAAAUGUACAUAGGAUAACCUGCACCCCACGAUCAAUUACAUCUAAUAAAAUCUAACAUCACAGAUUAAUUCAGCGGUCUGCCAUCCGAUUGGUUGGCUCAGAUUCAAUGUUCUGCCACCCACGUCUGCCCCGCACACAUUCAGCCCUUGACCCACGUCUGCCCCGCACACGCUCUGCCCUUCAGAUCGAUCGGCAUCAUGAUUUUUUUUCUCGCUCAACGCCGCCGCACCUCCAUACGUCGCCCAGCCCUAGCUUCGGUGGCUGCGCCGCCCAUGACGCCGACGAAUUCUACUGGGAUGUCGCGGACGAGCGAGGUUGAGUUCCAGGCCAUCGAGGCCACCUAUGCUGUCGAGCACCCCAAGCCGCCUGCCCACGACACCGGCGGCGGCAACGCCCAACAGACGCCCAACACCUGGUCCCAACAGUCGGCGGUGCUACCUCGCCGUCAUGGAUCCUAGCCAAGGUAGAGCUCCCCUCUUCUUGUUUCCCAUAUCCCCUUUCUUUCAAAAUUCUGAACUCUAACAUACAGAUCCACCGACGUUGCGCUCGUUCAUGGAUAUUGCAUCCUUGCACCAGCAUUAACAAGACGUCUAUAAUCCAUCUACCUGCAUGCUUAGGCUAGCCCUUGUGUGCAUCCAUGUUGCGGUAUGCUUCCAAUCGGUUAAGAGGAAAUCCAUCUUGUACAAUGCAUAC